rnacentral:rRNA from 1 species
GGUUCGAUUAUGGCUCCGUGAUUGAACGCUGGCGGGAUGCUUUACACAUGCAAGUCGAACGGCAGCACGGACUUCGGUCUGGUGGCGAGUGGCGAAACGGGUGAGUAAUACCGGAACGUGCCUAGUAGCGGGAGAUAACUACGCGAAAGCGUAGCUAAUACCGCAUACACGCCCUUCGGGGGAAAGCGGGGGACCUUUCGGGCCUCGCACUAUUAGAGCGGCCGACAUCGGAUUAGCCGGUUGGUGGGGUAACGGCUCACCAAGGCGACGAUCCGUAGCUGGUUUGAGAGGACGACCAGCCACACUGGGACUGGAGACACGGCCCAGACUCCUACGGGAGGCAGCAGUGGGGAAUUUGGACAAUGGGGGGAAACCCUGAUCCAGCCAUCCCGCGUGUGCGAUGAAGGCCUUCGGGUUGUAAAGCACUUUUGGCAGGAAAGAAACGGCACGGGAUAAUACCCCGUGCAACUGACGGUACCUGCAGAAUAAGCACCGGCUAACUACGUGCCAGCAGCCGCGGUAAUACGUAAGGGUGCAAGCGUUAAUCGGAAUUACUGGGCGUAAAGCGUGUGCGCAGGCGGUUCGGAAAGAAAGAUGUGAAAUCCCAGAGCUUAACUUUGGAACUGCAUUUUUAACUACCGAGCUAGAGUGUGUCAGAGGGGUGGAAUUCGCGUGUAGCAGUGAAAUGCGUAGAUAUGCGGAGGAACACCGAUGGCGAAGGCAGCCUCCUGGGAUAACACUGACGCUCAUGCACGAAAGCGUGGGGAGCAAACAGGAUUAGAUACCCUGUAGUCCACGCCCUAAACGCGAUGUCAACUAGUUGCUGGGGCCUUCGGGCCUUGGUAGCGCAGCUAACGCGUGAAGUUGACCGCCUGGGGAGUACGGUCGCAAGAUUAAAACUCAAAGGAAUUGACGGGGACCCGCACAAGCGGUGGAUGAUGUGGAUUAAUUCGAUGCAACGCGAAAACCUUACCUACCCUUGACAUGUCUGGAAUCCCGAAGAGACGGGAGUGCUCGCAAGAGAACCGGAACACAGGUGCCGUAUGGCUGUCGUCAGCCUGUGUCGUGAGAUGUUGGGUUAAGUCCCGCAACGAGCGCAAACUCUUGUCAUUAGUUGCUACGAAAGGGCACUGACGAGAUCAAGCUGCGACAAACCGGAGGAAGGUGGGGAUGACGUCAAGUCCUCAUGGCCCUUAUGGGUAGGGCUUCAACACGUCAUACAAUGGUCGGGACAGAGGGUCGCCAACCCGCGAGGGGGAGCCAAUCCCCAGAAACCCGAUCGUAGUCCGGAUCGCAGUCUGCAACUCGACUGCGUGAAGUCGGAAUCGCUAGUAAUCGCGGAUCAGCAUGUCGCGGUGAAUACGUUCCCGGGUCUUGUACACACUGCCCGUCACACCAUGGGAGUGGGUUUUACCAGAAGUAGUUAGCCCAACCGUAAGGAGGGCGAUUACCACGGUAGGAUUCAUGACUGGGGUGAAGUCGUAACAAGGUAG